UACGGAGGGUGCGAGCGUUAAUCGGAAUUACUGGGCGUAAAGCGCGCGUAGGCGGUUUGUUAAGUCGGAUGUGAAAGCCCCGGGCUCAACCUGGGAACUGCACCCGAUACUGGCCGACUAGAGUACGAGAGAGGGAGGUAGAAUUCCACGUGUAGCGGUGAAAUGCGUAGAUAUGUGGAGGAAUACCGGUGGCGAAGGCGGCCUCCUGGCUCGAUACUGACGCUGAGGUGCGAAAGCGUGGGGAGCAAACAGG
rnacentral:rRNA from 1 species